rnacentral:rRNA from 1 species
UACGUAGGGGGCCAGCGUUGUUCGGAAUUACUGGGUGUAAAGGGUUCGUAGGCGGUGCGGCAAGUUGGGAGUGAAAUCUCUGGGCUUAACCCAGAGGCUGCUUCCGAAACUGCUGUGCUUGAGUGUGGGAGAGGCGCGUGGAAUUGCAGGUGUAGCGGUGAAAUGCGUAGAUAUCAGGAAGAACACCCGUGGCUAAGGCGGCUCUCUAGUACGGUACUGACGCUGAGACGCGAAAGCGUGGGGAGCGAACAGG